GUUGUUGCAGUUAAAAAGCUCGUAGUUGGAUUUCUGGCUUUAUAGAACUGACCCGCCACGUUAGUGUGUGAGUGUCGGCUUCUAUAUGCCAUCCUUCCACAGAACGUUUCUACUCUUGAUUGAGCCGGAUUCGCAAUGUGGAACUUUUACUUUGAAAAAAUUAGAGUGUUCAAAGCAGGCUUACGCUAUGAAUACAUUAGCAUGGAAUAAUAAUUUAGGACUUUGGUUCUAUUUUGUUGGUUUCUAGAACUGGAGUAAUGAUUGAUAGGGAUAGUUGGGGGUGCUAGUAUUCAGCGGCCAGAGGUGAAAUUCUUGGAUUCGCUGAAGACUAACUUAUGCGAAAGCAUUCACCAAGGAUGUCUUCUUUAAUCAAGAACGAAAGUUGGGGGAUCGAAGACGAUCAGAUACCGUCGUAGUCUCAACCAUAAACUAUACCGACUAAGGAUGAGUGAACGUUGUUUUUCGACUUCAUUCGCACUUUAUGAGAAAUCAAAGUCUUUGGGUUCCGGGGGGAGUAUGGUCGCAAGGCUGAAACUUAAAGGAAUUGACGGAAGGGCACCACCAUGAGUGGAGCCUGCGGCUUAAUUUGACUCAACACGGGAAAACUUACCAGGUCCAG
rnacentral:rRNA from 1 species